GGAAUGAAGUGCAGGCUAUUUCUGGAGUAGUGGAGUAAGGGCUUGGGGUGGAAAGUGGAGGAGGGCAGUCACUGCUGUUUACUUUGCAUCCACUUUGGAAUGAUGAGAAACUCAGUUUCUUAGAAGAAAUAGUAAUGAAGAGAUGGCCUUGUGUCAGGAAAGGAUCGGGAACCUUGAAUCAGGCUGACCUUGGGUUUAAAUCCCAGUUCUGCCACUUACUGUGUGACCUUGGGCAUGUCAUCUAACUUUUAAGUCUCCAUUUCUUUGUAGUAUGAAUAUAAUACCUACAGUGCAGGGUUGCGAAGAUUUAAACCAAAUGUAGUGAAAGUACGUAGGACAUAGAGGGCACUUUGCAUGGUCACACCUUCUCCACUUGCUGUCCAAGCCCUGUGCCCUAGGUGGGAAGAGACAGGCAAGAAACGUAAAACCCUCUCCUCCAGGAGGUGGAGCUGCCAUCGAGAUAUUUUAGAAGUGAAGAUGCCAGAACAGGGUCUAGAUAGCUCAUGGCCCUCACCUUCACCCCAGUGCACACACAAACAUCACCAUUCACCCUCCUAUUACAUUAUCACUCCUCUGGGGAUUUAUUCUUUGGUUAAACACUUCACAGUCAGAGCACAGAAUCCCUGAGAAAGGAAGCACAUUAAGCAUUAGAAGUAUGUGAACUGAGUGGGAUUAUUAAAUUAUUUCAAGAGAAGCUUUGAAAAGAAGGGGAAAGCAAGCACAGUGGGUGUCAGGUGGCUGGAAAGGGGAGAAGCAGGGUACAGAAAAUAAGAGAACUUGAUUGGAACUGGACCCAAAGAGCAGAUAUAUGGACCUAACAGCUGUACGAAGGGGCAGUUGUCAUUACAGGUACCUUCUCUUGGUUUCAAGCUGUUUGGCUGAGGGUGAGUAUCCCCCUGUCACCCUAGCCAAAGUACAUACCCAGUGGCUUCUGGGGCAGUCCAGUGCUGCUGAGGGCCAGUGAAGGAGACUGAUCAUCUGGACACAAAGACCUUUCUACUUCCUUCUCAGCUGAAUUAGUUACCCAAGAUAGGUGACCAACAAAGGCAGACAGGGAUCUCCUCUCCUGGGCUCCCCUUGAUUUGUCCUCUAAGAUUAAGGCUUACCUGUGACUGUUGUUCGAAUCCCCCAACUGCUGUGAGACUUGGAAACACUGAUGGUUUUCAGAUGGCUAAGAGAGCUCCAUUUCUUGCCACCUGAGAUUCUGACCAAGCCUUUCACAACCCUUCUUGGCCUUUUAGAGUUCCCCCUGUAGCAGAGUUUGCCCGCUCAUUAAUAUCCGGGGAUCUAUGCCAGCUCAUUUGGCUUGCCCCUUCACCAGCGUUGGAUCAGUGAAAGUUGCAAGCAGUCAUAUGUUGCUCUCGGCAAAUGUUUUACAGGUGAAAACACAAGAAGGGUCAAUAGCAGGUGGUGGUUUUCUAAAACCCAUCUGUGUCAUAAUUAUAAUAGACUGAGAUACAUGGAAUGCCAGGGACUGCCACAGGCAAAGCUAACAGAAUUUUGAAAAGAUAUUUAAGUUUCAGUUAGUAAACUGGGGACACCAAAGCCUACUCAGAAUAGUUAUGGGACUAAAAUAUGGAGGAAAAGCACCUAACAAGGUGCCUGAUAAUAUAUGAUGCAGAUUUAAAGUAGUGGAUUCUAAAACAGACCAAAACUACCACCCAGAACAUAUAAAGUAAAAGCACUAUAACAUGCAAUAGUGUUACAAUACUAUUACAAUAGCGUGUUAAUAUUACCAAACUAUGGUAAAAUAUACUUUGAUUUUAUCCAUAAUUAAAGCUGAGGAUGUAUUGAUAGUUAACUUAGAAAGAUUAAAGCCCCCAUCAUUAGCAGUCAGAGAAGAGCAG
rnacentral:lncRNA from 1 species